rnacentral:lncRNA from 1 species
UACCACCUCCUUCUCUCUCUGGCCCCCUUGGUGUGUGAGGAAGCACAGGAAUGGAUGUGGACCAGGCAUGCCCUGGAGCCAGCUCAUCCCAGCUUGCACCUGCCCACCAGAGCUGAUCGUGCCCGUCUCUCCCCAGCUCUGGCCCAGGGGCAUCCCCUUGAAGGUGUGGAAUCAGCCAAAAUGGGAUUGUUCACAACACAGAAAUCCGCACACGCCGGGAUCAGGGCUUGUUGUUCCAGAGAGCCUGAUGUUAAGCAUUUAUCAGCACAGACCUGGCCGUGGCUGCUGACGCUGCUGGCCCCUGUUUGUGGAGUGUUUGCACGUGCCAGGCACCGUGCUGAGGAAGCACUUUUCAUGGAUUAGCUCAUUGUUUGGGAUCUUCGCACAGCUCUCCCCGAGCAGGGUGUAUUUUGUCAUCCUAAUGAAUAGGAAUUGUCACAAGACCAGUAGAGCUUGGGCAGUGCUGAUGGGAGGGAGCUCAGCAACAGUCUCUCCAGGGGGCUGUUUCUCCUCCUUGGCCUCCGCAACUCUGGGCAGGGGGCACAGGCUUGGGUCGUCAAGCAACUUGCUGCAGUCACACCACUAGACACGACAGAGCCGAGACUUGAACCUGCACCUGUAAGAGGCUCAGCCCUUGUCGGAGUUCCUGUGUCACACGGAGGGCUUGCCUCCUGCCUGCUUUGCACUUGGGUAGACUCAAGCUCCACCAGCAUCAGGGUGGCUGGUGUGGAUUCGUGCAGUCCAGGGUUCAAAACUCUGAGUCCCUGAGCUCACUCACCAGAGCCUGAGUCCUCACCACACUUGCUACUGGAAUGGAUCAUUUAUGCAAGGCCAGAGAUUGCUCCAGACCCUGACCUCGGAGAGCAGCUGAUGUUUCGUAGAUGACUUGGGGAGCGGGAGGUGGUCACCUGUAGCGUGAUCCGGAUCUCCUCGAACAAGGGUGAAACAAAGCGGUUACAUGCUUGAGUGUGUGUGUGCGCGUUUGUGUGCCUCGAGGCAGAAGGUGGAUGUUCGUGCUUGGAGAGAGACUCUAGCCUUCGUCAGACCCCCUGAACCGUCAGAGGCAGGGUCACUUUGGAGAGAGGGUUGUGGGUUCUGGUGGGGAACGCACGCUGCACUUCGGCCCAGCCUGGGGUGGAGGGGUAGCCAAUGGGGAACUCAGAAUGGUCCGGUGUUGUGGUUUACAGCAGGGGUCAGAUUACCUGGGUUCAAUUCCUGGCCCCGCACCACAUGUCUGUGAACACUCAGGAAAGUUUUUAACUUCCAAAGUCUCAGUUUCCUCAUUUGUACCAUGAGAUGACAGUACCGACUUCACAGGGCUGUCUUGUAAGGACUGAAUGAGCCAGUCCACACACAGGACUCAGAGCUGUGUCUGGCGUCCAUGAAACACCAUAGCAUUACUGUUCUGUUAGCAGACCGAGAAAGGAGGUGAGAGCCGCAGUGAUACUCAUGAGGGAUGGGAGGGCUGCCUUGGGCUGCAUUUUAUUGGAAAGGACUGGAUGAUGGCAAUGGUAAUGAUAACAAUAAUAAUAACGAUGGCUGCAUUUCUGACCACCUGCCAUGUGCCAAGCCUGGUUCUAGAUGCUCUACAAGAAUAAUUUCUGGUCUUUAAAACAUCCCUGGAAAAUCAGGGUUAUUGUCCCCAUUUUACAGAUGGGAAAAUUGAGGCUGAGAUGUCCAAAGACUCACAGCUAGUGUGGGGUGGAGCUGAGAAGGUUUUGUUUCACCCGCUGUGAUGUUUAGCCUAGGUCUGCUGGGUGCCGUUUACCAUGAUCUUCUGCCAUUGGCAGGAGAAGGUCAUGGUUAAAUGCCCAGACUUGGAAGCCAGGCUACCCUGGGUCUGAAUGCACUUCAUUGUGAGAUCUCAGGGUCUCGAUUUUUCCCUCUGUGAAAUGGGCAUAAUGAUAGGUGCCACCUCAUAGGGCUGCUGUGAGGACCAAGGAGAGACUACGUGGAUAACAAAAGCCAAGUUCCUAGAACAGUCCUCAUACACAGGCCCCCAGCCAGCCCCCACCAUCCUCACUCCCAGGCCUCCAACCAGUUCAUCCCAUUCCC